GGCCUCGUGGUGUAACGGUUAGCACUCUGGACUCUGAAUCCAGCGAUCGCGGUUCAAAUCCGCGCGAGGCCU
rnacentral:tRNA from 1 species